UUUUUUUUUUCCCGAUUUACAGGGAGCUAGCUAAAGAUUUUGUUGUUGCUGGAACUGCAUCAGAGUCUCUGUAUGGUGCUUGUGAAUCUAUGUACAAGCCUGACUUGGAACCUGAAGAAUUGUUCGAGACAGUCUCCCAAGCUUUACAGGCAUCAGUUGACCGGGACUGUUUGAGUGGUUGGGGAGGGCAUGUCUAUAUUGUCACUCCAACAGAGAUCAAGGAGCACAUCUUGAAGGGCAGGAUGGAUUAGAAUUUCUCUACAGGGCUUAUCUUUCCCUAUUCUCUCUAUCGUGUCUUUGGAAUGUAGUUAGACUUGUUUCCGUGGAGGUUUAAUGUAAUAGAAUAUGCUGUUGAAACUAGCGUGUGCUAAUUCUGAAUUCUUGUUCAUGUAGUGGACAGUGUAUUUGCGAUUAGACAUUUCCAGACUUAGAUCUUGUUAUCCCCUGAGUUCCGUUCUAAUCAUAAGCCAUUAGUUUGGUCGGUGAUUAAUUUGAUCAA